rnacentral:rRNA from 1 species
GUCCAUGCCGUAAACGAUGAGAACUGGAGGAAUGUCAACGAGAGUUGGUGUGUCUCUAAGCUAACGCGCAAGUUCUCCGCCUGGGGAGUACGGCCGCAAGGUUAAAACUCAAAGGAAUUGACGGGGGCCCGCACAAGCGGUGGAGCAUGUGGUUUAAUUCGAUGCAACGCGAAGAACCUUACCUACCCUUGACAUCCUGCGAACUGCCCUGAGAGGGGUGGGUGCCGAAAGGAGCGUAGAGACAGGUGCUGCAUGGCUGUCGU